AAUAAUCCUGUAGUCGAAAAUGUUGUCUCUCUUGAGUGGAUCCUGAGUACGACGGAGCACGUGAAAUUCCGUCGGAAUCUGGGAGGACCAUCUCCUAAGGCUAAAUACUCUCUAGUGACCGAUAGUGAACCAGUACCGUGAGGGAAAGGGGAAAAGCACCCCGGAAGGGGAGUGAAAUAGAACCUGAAACCGUGUGCUUACAAGUAGUCA
rnacentral:rRNA from 1 species